AAUGUACUCCCUCCGUUCCAUAAUUCUUGUCGAAAUAUUACAUGUAUCUAGACGGAUUUUAGGAAUAGAUACAUCCACUUUGGGGCAAAUUUGAGACAAGAAUUAUGGAACGGAGGGAGUAAAUG
rfam:Brachypodium distachyon strain Bd21 chromosome 1, whole genome shotgun sequence.